UUAAAAUGUAUCAAAUUAGUACCCUGUGGUUUCUUACUUUAUCACUUUAGUAUUCUGUGGUUUAAAAUAUAUCAAAUUAGUACUUUGUGAUUUUAUUUUUGUAUCAAAUUAGUACUAUGUGAUUUAAAAACCACAUGAUACUAAAGUGAUAAAGCACGAAACCAUAGGUUACUAAUUUGAUACACUUUAAACUAUAGGAUAUUAAGGUAAAAAGUGCAAAAUCAUAUAGUACUAACUUGAUAUAUUUUAAACCACAGUAUACUAAAGUGAGAAAAAAAUGAAACCACAGGACACUAAUUUGAUACACUUUAAACUACAUGGAUAAUAAAAUGAGAAAAUGCGAACUAUAUGAGUGGUAUUUGAAGUUUACCCAUUUAUUAAACAACCAGUUGUUUUU
rnacentral:lncRNA from 1 species